GUAGCCGAAAAUCUGGGAUUUGGACAUGUUACCAGGGAACAUAUAAUUCAGGAGCACACAAGACCUCUGGCCCAGAUGAUUCUUGGUGAUACAGUUUCCCAGCCAGCAAUACUUGUCCUUGAUGGUUACUUUGUGUCAGUACUGGGUCCUUAUAUUGCUAGAAACAAUGAUGCUACAAUCCUUAACCACAUAAUGCACAGCAACCUUGAGGACAUUCGGAGCUGGGUACAGGAGGAGGACAUAUUUGUGGUUGAUCGUGGAUUUAGGGAUUCCUUGGACUGUCUGGAGCAGAUGGGGAUUAAUGCCAAAAUGCCUUCAUUCCUGAACAAAGGCACAGGGACCAAGCCCGUUUUAACAUUCAUUCCAAUGUAACCAUUAUGGUUACAUUGAAAUUAAUGUUAAAACGGGCUUGGUCCCUGUGAACAAAGGAGAUAAGCAGAUGUCUACAGAAAAUGCAAACACCCGUCGAUAAGUGACAAAGAUACGUUGGGUUGUUGAGUCUGCUAACGCUAGGAUCAAGCAAUGGCGUUACCUAAGACACAUCCUACCUUCCAGUCAAAUUCCCUACAUUGGUGACUUUGUCAGGAUUGUA